GGUGGCGCACGCCUUUAAUCCCAGCACUCAGGAGGCAGAGGCAGGUGGCUCUCUGGAAGUUCAAGGUCAGCCUGGUCUCCACGGCGAGUGCCAGGACUGAACCCCAGGCGCCUGCCUUAUAUAACAAAGGACAAGACCACCUUGGAGGCCCUUCAGUUGCUGGCCACACUUUCUGUACCAUCUUUGAAGAGGAUGUGGGCGGAACAUUUGAACUUGACAUUCAAAGGAACUUCAAGGUGCACUCCGGAAACCUUUGAAAUUCAGGACUGGAGAACUGAAGAGUGAUGGAGAGGCAGACAGGAAGGAUGCUGAGGGUCCCUGAGACACAGUGCUGGGUCAUCUCCAACCUGUUAGCCUUUAAACCUGCCAACAUCUUCCUUUGCUUUCUGAGGGACAGUGUCGGAGGCUUUCUGGAGUGGCCAGGCUUAGCCCAUGAAAAGGCUUAUCUCAUGUGCUUCAAAGAAAUGAAAACUCCGUUGUUGGGCUGACUUUGAAGUCUUGCUACACGGGUUUUGGAAUGGUGAAGGCUGACCUCAAGUUAGCAAACUCCAAGCACAGUAAAAAUAUCCAGGAAUGAGGGUGGGGAUGGGGAACUGCUUGCAAGCCAGAGUUCAAUCCCCAGCAGCCAUGUAAAAAGCUGGACUCUG
rnacentral:lncRNA from 1 species